UUCCGGUUGAUCCUGCCGGACCUGACUGCUAUCGGAUUGAUACUAAGCCAUGCUAGUCUUUGUAGUAAUACAAGGCAUACGGCUCAGUAACGCGUAGUCAACCUACCCUAUGGACGGGGAUAAUCUCGGGAAACUGAGCAUAAUACCCGGCAGACCACUUAUCCUGGAAUGGUUAGUGGUUAAAAUGAUUCGUCGCCAUAGGAUGGGACUGCGGCCUAUCAGCUUGUUGGUGAGGUAAUGGCCCACCAAGGCGAUUACAGGUACGGGCUCUGAGAGGAGAGGCCCGGAGAUGGGUACUGAGACAAGGACCCAGGCCCUAUGGGGCGCAGCAGGCGAGAAAACUUUGCAAUGUGCGAAAGCACGACAAGGUUAAUCCGAGUGGUUUCUGCUAAAGGAACCUUUUGACAGUCCUAGAAACACUGUUGAAUAAGGGGUGGGCAAGUUCUGGUGUCAGCCGCCGCGGUAAAACCAGCACCUCAAGUGGUCAGGAUGAUUAUUGGGCCUAAAGCAUCCGUAGCCGGCUCUGUAAGUUUUCGGUUAAAUCUGUACGCUUAACGUACAGGCUGCUGGGAAUACUGCAGAGCUAGGGAGUGGGAGAGAUAGACGGUACUCGGGAGGAAGUGGUAAAAUGCUUUGAUCUCUCGAUGACCACCUGUGGCGAAGGCGGUCUAUCAGAACACGUCCGACGGUGAGGGAUGAAAGCUGGGGGAGCAAACCGGAUUAGAUACCCGGGUAGUCCCAGCUGUAAACUAUGCAAACUCAGUGAUGCACUGGCUUAUGGCCAGUGCAGUGUUGCAGGGAAGCCGUUAAGUUUGCCGCCUGGGAAGUACGUACGCAAGUAUGAAACUUAAAGGAAUUGGCGGGGGAGCACCACAAGGGGUGAAGCCUGCGGUUCAAUUGGAUUCAACGCCGGG
rnacentral:rRNA from 1 species